CGAUUUUCCUAGACUUCUCGUUAGAUGACGCCUGAUGUUCGAAAUAGAGGGAGGCGAAUCUGAAGAUCAGAUAUAUAUAUAGUUUUGAAUUAUCGUCUCGUCAACUUCCAUGUAAUUCCAUAGUGUCAUUAUAAUAAAAGUAUUUCUCUUCAUGCAAGUCACGGUAAAGGAUCACGUCAUUUGCUGAUUAAAAUUACUCAAACUCACGGCUAAAAUCUCAAGAUGGACGUUAAUCUACAGAUAUUCGUAUCGACGAACGUGCUUCUGUUCCGGCGCGGUCCUCCCCGCCCCGAUUGACUUAUUCGUGAAGGAAGUCUUAUAUUAUUUGUUUGACCAAUCUAUCGUUCGGAAGCGAGUGGAGAGAGAGGAAGAGAAAGGAGAGAGAUUUUUACGAGCGGAGUAUAGCGUGACGGGCUGCGAGGGUAUCGAAGGGCUCGCGCGCGUGUAAGCAACGUUAGUCGCGGGUAAAACGUAAUAUUAUGCGACGGCGGGUCGCCUUUACGUAAACAUUUACGCCUCGUGGCAACACUAAAAUAUGAAGCCGUCGGAGACGGGAUUUCGUGUGGCAGGACCCUCCGUCUAAGCCCGAAUAAUUUACGAGAUUGGCUCUUCUCGCAGCACCGACCUACCUACGUUUCACCGUUGAUGAUACGCAUUCGAUAUAUUAUAAUACAGAGUGUUUUUCAAAUAUAUAUGUAUGCGCAACGUAAUAAAAAAAUGUCAUAAUGAAGAGAAAGAUAUUUCUUCAUGCAAGUCACGGUUUAAAGGAUUCUUUCCAUGAUAUCUGCUGAAGCUGAUUAAAAUUUUGAACAAACUUGAGCCAAAAUUCCAAGAUUGAUGGUUCAUCUACAGAUAUUCGCAAAAGAUAAGGAAGAAUGUUCCGAAGGCGAGGCGAGAGAGAGACGCGAGAAGGUGCUUCUAUAGUCACGACUAUACUCCCGUGACUAUAACGUCUUGAACGGAACGUGACCGCGUGGUAAUCGCUCCUGUCUCGCUUUGCCGCGACAAACGAACGACUAUAAAACGGCAAUAAAACCGAACGGGGGUGAGACUCGAGCACGAGAAAAAGGGGAAAAAGGGAGAGAAAGGUCCAGCCCAGGUCGAGAGAGGCAGUUUGCUUUGACAUUGCCUAAUCAAAACAGGGACUCCUUUUCCCGUUUCUUUGUUCGUGCCCCGACUAAAUCGAAGAAUAAAAAGACUCUUUGGUUUCACGAUUUACCACUUUUUGAUAACCAAUUCGUUUGCGUUGAGAGAUCGAGAUGCAAAUACAUUUCAUCCACUAUUGCCUGCUGUUAUAUAUAUAAACAAAAAUGACUUAAAUAGAAAAUAUGAUUCGCUUAUUAUAUGAAAAUAUAAUAUCGAAUAUCACAUAUAUAUUAAAAAUGUAUAUA